UUCUGCAUUUCAAGAAAUAGAAAAAAAUAAGUUUUAAAUUUGAUUUUUUAAAGGAGGUGAUAUAAGAAGAUGCCGAAUAUACAUAUCUGAGUUGUGUAUAUCCGGUGUUUGUUUUGAUUUUGCAAUCCGGGUAUAAUUUGGCCGGGAUAUGUAUAUCCCUCUGCAGUCGGAUUAUUUUGGACACACCCCUCCAAAUUAUAUCCGGCUCCCACACUCUACCAAAAUAGCCCUCGGGCCCCACCAGUUUUUCUCCCCUCUUCCCUUGCACCGUUGCACGGAGGGAGAGAGGGAGAGAGGAGAAGAGGGAGAGGGUUCUGACUUCUCGUCACCGUCGUCGACUUCAGGAUUUUCCGGUGGCAAGGUUUUUGGAUUCCGGCGGAGAUCGAGGUUAGGGCUGUGAGGGAUCGCGUGAUGCGAGCAAAUUUCGAUAAGGAACACAAAGAACCCAAAUAAUCCAAAUCUCUUUCCUUAGAAA